UGUUUCUGCAGCAGAUGCUCAACGUGCAUCUACAGGUAAAUAUAAUUAUAUGAAACAAUUCUAAAAAAAUUAAUUACAGCUUAUAAUAAAUACAAAUAUAUUCAUUUUUCCUUAAUUUCCAAUAACAUAACCUAUCUUUAUGAAUGAAAACUAAAUGCAGAAUUUGCGACACGACUUUUGAAUAAAGCUUUAAACGAACAACCACAAGCAUCAACGUCUGUUGAUCUUACUGAUGAAAAUCUUCAAUUUUCUGAGGCUGACACAGAUCAAUUUAUUGAUCAAGAAUUCCUCACUACAGAAGAUACUGUUUAUUCCAACUCUGAAACUCAAGAAAGCGAAGCUUCUUUGUAUAGGUGGAGCACGCCUUGUGUUUUGUUAUUAUUAGAGUCUUAUAGAGCAUUGGAAAAAGAUUUUUAUAGUGGAAAAAUAUCCCAAAAGAAAAUUUGGGAAAAAGUUGCCAAAGAAUUGAAGGUAAAAGGACAUGAUGUAACUGGACCACAAUGUUCUUCAAAGCUGCGAAGCUUAAAAAAAACUUACAAAUCUAUUAAAGAUCAUAAUAAUAAAUAAGGAAAUGACAGAAGGACUUGGCAGUUUUUUGAUAUAAUGGAAGAGAUUUUUUCCAAAAAAGCUUGGUGUGAUCCAGUUGCCGUUGCAUCUUCUACGGGUUUAUCAAAAAAAUCAUUACAAACUAAUGAUAGUAUGGGAGGAUCUGAUAGUGGAUGUUCAAUAAAAUCAAAGAAGACACCAGUUGUCACUUUAUUAGGAAAAAGACUGAAGCAAAAAGAAGAACACGAAGCACAGAAAAAUAAAAGACACAAAGAGCGAAUGGAAAUGGAUGAAAAAUUUCUCAACGUUCUAGAAAAAUUAGCUA